rnacentral:rRNA from 1 species
AGUUGAUCCUGGCUCAGAACGAACGCUGGCGGCGUGCUUAACACAUGCAAGUCGGAUGCGAACCAUGCCUUCGGGGGUGAAGUAGCAUGGCAGACGGGUGAGGAACGCGUACCUGACCUGACACUCGAUGGGGGAUAGUCCUCCGAAAGGAGGUUGAAUACCGCGUACGCUCUCUGAUUCAGUUCAGAGAGGACAGAUGGCCUCUGCAUGCAUGCUGUCGUCGAGUGAGGGGGGUGCGUCCUAUUAGCUAGCUGGUGCGGUAACGGCGUACCAGGGCAUCGAUGGGUCGCUGGUCUGAGAGGAUGAUCAGCCACACUGGGACUGAGACACGGCCCAGACUCCUACGGGAGGCAGCAGUGGGGAAUUUUGCGCAAUGGGGGGAACCCUGACGCAGCAACGCCGCGUGAGUGACGACGCCUUUCGGGGUGUAAAGCUCUGUGAGGAGGGACGAAGACUCCGGGUUGAAGAACUCGUGGGGAUGACGGUACCUCCACAGCAAGCCCCGGUUAACUCCGUGCCAGCAGCCGCGGUAAGACGGAGGGGGCAAGCGUUGUUCGGAAUGACUGGGCGUAAAGCGCCCGUAGGCGGUGGCGCCAGUGUCUCGUGAAAGCCCCCGGGUCAACCGGGGGACGGGCGAGGCAUACUGCGCGACUUGAGUGCUGGAGGGGGAGGCGGAAUUUCCUGGUGGAGCGGUGACAUGCGUAGAGAUCAGGAAGA